rnacentral:rRNA from 1 species
AACGAACGCUGGCGGCAGGCCUAACACAUGCAAGUCGAGCGCGCCCUCCGGGGUUAGCGGCGGACGGGGGAGUAACGCGUGGGAACGUGCCCUUUUCUACGGAAUAGCCGCGGGAAACUGAGAGUAAUACCGUAUACGCCCUUUGGGGGUAAGAUUUAUCGGAAAAGGAUCGGCCCGCGUUGGAUUCGGUAGUUGGUGGGGUAAUGGCCUACCAAGCGGACGAUCCAUAGCUGGUUGGUGAGGAUGGUCAGCCGCACUGGGAAUGAGACACGGACCAGAAUGCUACGGGAGGGAGCAGUGGGGAAUCUUAGACAAUGGGGGCAACUGUGAUAUAGCCGUGCCGGGUGAGUGAUGAAGGCGUUAGGGUUGUAAAGCUCUUUCAGCUGGGAAGAUAAUGACGGUACCAGCAGAAGAAGCACCGGCUAACUACGUG